CUGAUACGACCCCGUCCCAAAUCACCCUAAUGGACCCGAAAUGUGACGUGCGCCGAUGAUAGAUGCUGAUUAGAUGUCAAAUCUAUCACCGAGGCUAACUAUGAGUUAUUUCAAAAAAUACAACAAAAUCAAAUGCUUAUGUAAAACAUAAUGCAAUGGGCCCAAAAUAUUUACUUCGUGCUUGAUCAAUAUGAGUUAUAAUAUUCAACAUGUCGUGUGGUUCUCAUUCUGAAAUCAUUAGGCUCUUCCAGCUAGAAACAAUCAAUUUCCAUCUGUAGAAAAAUUACGGAAAAAUAUAUGAGUUGAUAGCUCAGUGAGUAGAGAAGCUCGAAAAUAAUUAUACUUUUUUCAUUUUUACAUUUUUAUCGAAAAUCGAGUUCAUAUCAUUGAUAACUCCCAAGAUAACAUCAUGUAAUUAUAGUCAAAACGUGAGACAUUCAUAUAGCGUGGUAAAAUAUCAUCUCAAGUCAUGAUAUAAACA
rnacentral:lncRNA from 1 species